rnacentral:lncRNA from 7 species
AGUGAUGCGGGCACUCGCUGAGGUCACAAUCACUGCUGGGGUGGCAGCGUUUCCGCCACAGCUGGUGAGCAGAGCUGGUGCUCUGGUGAGCGUGCUGCACACCGAGGCUGAGCUCUGGGCCUUCCGUGGAACAGAUCACCCUGUGAGAGCCCGUCAGAAGCACCGCGUGUGCACUCGUUGGUACUCUCUGCAGGGUUCCUGUCCCAAGGGAGAUUUUGGGAUCGAGGCAGUGGGAGGAAGAGGGAAGCCAGCUCUUUGCAAGGGCCGGGGAAUUCCUGUGCACAGAGGCCUGGGAACUUCAUCAUCCUCUGAGCCUUCAGCGGCCAUGUCUCAGCACGGAGAUGACCGCGGUUCCAAUUGCUGCCGUCUGAGUGGCAAGGUAUGGCUGGGCUUCUUCUGCUUGGUUCUUCCUUUCUCUUGCUCUCAAGGGGAAGGGACGGAGCAGGGGGAGCCCUGCUGGUCCUUGGUGACCUCAGUAACCGGUUGCAUUCAGCGCUCACUGCUGACAGCCUGGGCUAACAUCGCGGACGUGGCUCAGGCCGUCUUUUCCCUUAGUGAUAGUUAGUGUCUCAGCACUCUGAUAUCCCCUUUCUGGCACGAUCUGGAACCUCUCUGCAAGCCUUGGCUGCCCGUUCCCACCACCGUUUCUUCCUUUCUCUCUUCAGAAGCGGCGCGGCGCGGUUCCCCGCGGUUGGGAGCAGCAGCCAGCAGGCUGCCAGAGAUCCGACCGCGCCUUCCAGCGCACAGAGGGACGCAACAGGGACGGACGGUCCUUCAUGCCAUACAGAAGUGAGUUUCAUCGGCCCUCUGUCAUGAAGUGUGAAGGAAUGAAUUUUGAGUAUUCGUUCUGGGCGGGUGCAGCGCUUCAGGGGAUGUCAAAUGAGCAUGCAUUUGGAGUGCAGGAAGGAGCAGUGAGAAGUGAACUAUCAAUCAGUUUGUGUUUGGGCUGUCCAAGUAGCAUCUUUCUGUUUUCUGGGGGGACGUGGGCAUACUGGGCAGUGCUUCUGCUGCCUGCUGGUGUCUGUGAAAUCAACACACCAUCUGUUGUUGUAGGGACGGAGCCUGCACGUCCAUGGAGUGGUGCUGGGCAAGGCUGGAAACGCAAAGCCUCCGCAGGUAAGAAGCUCUUGCGAGCUGUGCUGACUGCAGAAGCGGCAUAAUGUUGUAGCAGCAGAAAGGCAAGCUGAAGAAACUGCUCUUGAGGAUUAGAAGACUGUGGUUGGCUGUGCUCAAAUCUUCCGCCACAGAGAUGCUCUUCAUGUCUUUCUUGUCUCCUUUCUGCCAGAAGCUGAUGCGAGCGGCCUUCCAUCAAAGCGCAGCCUUGCAGAAAGGCAAGGCAGAAGCGCCCAGUGUGGCACAGCACCAAAGAGAGGUACGGACACACAGCAGGCACCUGGGUUUGGUGCACUGUCUCUCUAGUGAGGCUUUCUGUCCGUCCUUUCCUGGGACUGUGGACGUUGUGUGUUGGUUGUGGUCUUAAUCCCUGGCAUGUACAGUAAGCAUUCCUGUGCUGAUUAGAAAUGUGAACCCACAGUCCAGCCAAGAUCCUAUGAUCCAUGACCGUGAGCACUCGAGAUGAGAUGUCCUGGUAUUGUGACCCGUUUUGCAGACGGAAAGUAGUGUUGGGCUCUCAUUAAAUCUCCUUAUUUUUCCUUUCUUAACAGAGAUUGGUGCUGAGCCAAAUGACAAAAUCUAUGUCAAAGUGGUCCAGCAGGUCCAUACUGAGAGAGCAUGUCAAAGAGCAGCAGCUCAGGCUCCACACCAGGCUGGAGGUCCUCUUAGAAGAGCAGGUCCCAGCACAGGGGGAAGACCUUCCCCUGCCGUGUGCCCCCGCUCUGUCUCCAACACCCUGGCUGGAUAUAAACACAAGGCCUUGGAGGAAGGGAAACCAACAGCAGCUCAGCAGCCUUCCAAUAAGAGAGUGAGGGGGCCGAGUGGAGACGGCGUGCCGGCUCCAGCAGCACACCCUGGGCCUGCUGCUGCUCGGAGCUCCAAGCAAAGAGGUGAGAAGGUGCUGUGGUACCCGCCGUGCUGAGGCAUUUCCCUGUGCGAGCACACUGAGUUUGCUUAGGGUUGGCUUUGCUUUUUCCUACUCCAUGGAGGGAAAAAGAGUGGAAGGCAACAAAGUCCAAAGGCAGUGAGGUGCCAGAAUGUGUAACCCUGUCUCUUCUCGUUAACUCCAUGGUGGUCUUCUGCACGUUCCCCUGGAAAUGUCAUUCACUGGGAGGCUUCCUAGUCCCAUUUCCUCUGUCUUUUUGCUGCCUUCUGCUUGUACGGCACCAAUGUUUCUGAGGUUCUGCUGAUGACAAAAUGCAUUCAUCUUUUUUUUUUGCCUUAUAGCAAGAAGACAGCGACAGAAAGAGAGGAGAGUGGAGCUGAAGAAGGCUGCCCUCAGAGCUGACGCUGCACGUGCAGAGGUGAGUCCUUGGUGAACACAGACACGGCUCUUGUUGUUCUCAGGGCCUCUGUCUGUCACACAUGAAAGGAAGAGACUGUAAAAUCCCGAGGGAAGUGGUGUCCUGUUUCUACCCUCGCUCCGUUUCUUCCCAGGCCUCCGCAGUGGACAGCCUUGUGGAGAUGAUGCAGAAGCUGCAGCUGAAGGACUGAGAGGAGGAGCGUCAGCAGGAAGCAGCUUCUGCAGUGCGCGGCGUUACAGGGCAGCACUGAGUGCCGCCCAUCUCAGCACUCCACCUUCAAACGUAGUCAUUAAACACCAGUCAAAUUUAUAGAUUCACAAAGAGCGCACGGCCUGAUUUGUCCAGCGGCACUCGGAGAGCUGCUGCACCACCUCCUCGUUAUUGGUCUCGCGGCGCUCGCUCAGAACUGCCAU